rnacentral:rRNA from 1 species
UACGUAGGGGGCAAGCGUUAUCCGGAUUUACUGGGUGUAAAGGGAGCGUAGACGGCAUAGCAAGUCUGAAGUGAGAGCCCGUGGCUCAACCGCGGAACUGCUUUGGAAACUGUUAAGCUGGAGUACUGGAGAGGCAAGCGGAAUUCCUAGUGUAGCGGUGAAAUGCGUAGAUAUUAGGAGGAACACCAGUGGCGAAGGCGGCUUGCUGGACAGAGACUGACGUUGAGGCUCGAAAGCGUGGGGAGCAAACAGG